ACCUUGGGACACAGCAACAGUCAUAAGUAUGAACCAAUUCCCAAGCACCUGAAUUUUGAUAUUACGGGGAUGCUGCAAACAUCACUGUGAAAAAUUUAUUAGUAGUCUGGAUUUGGGUGCACAAAGGACAGAAGAUCCUGACACCCUUCAUCUUAUGUACGAAGGGUGUGUGCUUAAGUACUGCCCUUUCUUCUUGGAGGACACCCCUAGGAGAGCAGAAACAAACAAGUUUUGAGUCCUAGAAGCUGUCUACCCCACUACCAGCCUUAACGUGAAGGUCUCUCAUCUUUUUAACCCAUCUUAGCGAAGAAGGAAAGUGGUGCGAAGAACUGGCAGGAGCCUGAAGGCCAAAUAAAGGGAGAGGGAAGAAAUGAAAGAACGUCACACUUGCUAAGUAGGUAUUAUUUAUUAAGGCUUGUAUUCUCCUAGAGGAAAAAGUUAAUCUGAUGCUGCUCCAUUACUCCUUACAUCAGAAGUAACAGACAAAGCUAUAUGUUCUAAAUACAAGUCUAAAUGAUACAGCUUAAAACUUUCAUUUAAAUUGGAGGUCCUCUUGUGUAAAUAUUGUUUUUCAGAAGAUAUCUGCUUUCUAAUAUAAGUAAAAGAUCCUCUACAAUUAAACACGUGCAGAAUCAAUGUGCUAGAGCAACAGGCAUGAGCACCAAGAAUUCAUGCUAAAUUUUUGAAAACUCCGGUUGGUGGCCACUUCUUCCGACAGCUUCCUCAUUCCACAAAAACAUGACAGAAGAUUCAUUUCUUAAAACAAUUGUUUUUUUUUUUUUACU